GAGGAAAGCUGGGGGCGUGCCUAAUACAUGCAAGUCGAGCGAACAGACGAGGAGCUUGCUCCUCUGACGUUAGCGGCGGACGGGUGAGUAACACGUGGAUAACCUACCUAUAAGACUGGGAUAACUUCGGGAAACCGGAGCUAAUACCGGAUAAUAUAUUGAACCGCAUGGUUCAAUAGUGAAAGACGGUUUUGCUGUCACUUAUAGAUGGAUCCGCGCCGCAUUAGCUAGUUGGUAAGGUAACGGCUUACCAAGGCAACGAUGCGUAGCCGACCUGAGAGGGUGAUCGGCCACACUGGAACUGAGACACGGUCCAGACUCCUACGGGAGGCAGCAGUAGGGAAUCUUCCGCAAUGGGCGAAAGCCUGACGGAGCAACGCCGCGUGAGUGAUGAAGGUCUUCGGAUCGUAAAACUCUGUUAUUAGGGAAGAACAAAUGUGUAAGUAACUAUGCACGUCUUGACGGUACCUAAUCAGAAAGCCACGGCUAACUACGUG
rnacentral:rRNA from 1 species